rnacentral:rRNA from 1 species
UACGGAGGAUGCGAGCAUUAUCCGGAUUUAUUGGGUUUAAAGGGUGCGUAGGCGGACUGUUAAGUCAGCGGUAAAAUGUCGGGGCUCAACCCCGGCCGGCCGUUGAAACUGGCAGUCUCGAGUUGGAGAGAAGUAUGCGGAAUGCGCGGUGUAGCGGUGAAAUGCAUAGAUAUCACGAAGAACCCCGAUUGCGAAGGCAGCCUGCCGCAGCGUUACUGACGCUGAAGCUCGAAAGCGUGGGGAGCAAACAGG